AAUUCUAAUGCAGCAGGGUGGGCAGGAAGACACACACUCUUACAGAUGGUAUCAUGGCUAGAAGUACCAGCAAGUGGUCUCUUUGUGGAAGUGUGCCCCUUUUGGCUUAACCCAAAUCUGUCAUAGGUUUUAGGGCUUUGCUAACUACUGACAACAAACUAUGAAUAGAGGGCAAAAGGAAUCCAGGGAAUUGAAGUGUUUGAAGGGACAGUGGUCCACUAGAUGGUCACACUAGCAGGCUUUGGAAUUCAAUGCUUACCCAUCCUUUGCUUGUGGCACCAGUCAUACCGGAUGCUGACUGUACUGUGGAUGAAGCUGAUUCAGGGUACUGUUUGAAAGUGACUUCCCUAAGAAAAAGCCAUGAAGAUGUGUUGGUUCAAUGAAGCCUAUUUGUACCAAAGUUGCAUUUCAGUAAGAAAACAGACCGGUUUCCCUGUUAGUGGUAGGGUACCAGAGUGAAAAGAAUGUUUUGUUUAGAAGCGAGAACAAUUAACUGUUGCAUCCCCUAGUGGAUAUGACCCAGGGAAAGAGGAGAUAUUGCAGUUUCUACAGCUAUAUUUGCUGCUGUGUACUGACAGCACAGAGCUAUAAUUGCAAUUGUAACAUCUGCUUCUUCCUCUAAUGCUUUCACCAGGAGUUCAGAAGCAUCUGUCUGUCUUUCACUAGGCUGCUGUACACAGGAAACAUCUGAGGCUAUGUUUCUUGUUAGACCUUUCAGCAGGGAUGAAUAUCGCCUCAACUGCUUCCUCAGAUUUCUACUCCCAUUGAGCCUUAGUUGUCAGUGGACUAAAAACGAUCAGCCUCCCUCAUCCGUCCCAAGAAUUAGGACACUGAACUAUUUCCAUUGCUAUUUCCCUGCCAUCUCUUCAAGCCUUCUGCCACCCCAGCCCCCCCUGGCUUGUACUGCGACUACUGUCUUGCACUUGUGCCCCCUAUUGCAGCUGCUGCUUGCUGUAGGAGUUAAAGGGAAGUGUGAGAGUGAUGAAGCUGAUACCAAAACCUUAAACUCAGAUGUUUCUAAAGUUUGGGAGGUGGAGGAGGGUAUAAAUAUAUAUUUAGAUAGAUUUAAAAAGAUUUGGCUGAACUGUAUUGUAAUAAGUGUUAAAACUCUUUCAAUAUUAAAUAUUCUUUUA